CCUUCACUCGAACACGAGGUCGGGCGGUGAGGGAGCCCGGGCAACCUCACACGGCCAUAAGGACCCUCGUAGCGGCAAGGAUGCUCGCAGCCACUUCAAAGCCUCCAGUGCUCAACAUCUCCAUCUUCUCCAAGAUCGAAAGCGACCAAAUCAAGUACUUGAGAUGAGGUUAGGAUCUAGGGUUUUGUUCUUAUUGCAUAGGGUUUCUUUUCAACUGUCAAAGAUGAGGCUAUCUUCUUCAAAUCUGUCACCACAAUACCACAAGAAGAAAUGGAGCAAUCGAGUAACUAGCAUGACAUCUUCACGUUCUGAUUUGUUGAUUGGUAUUACCUUUUGACUCUUAAGUUUAUAUUAUUAAUUAUGGUCUCGCAAAGAAGUACAGGCAUUUCCAAACUCAUAAGCACAUACCUUAUAGGUAAUCAAAACUUGAUCUUGAUAUAAUAAUUCUGUGUUUUUUUUUACUUCAUAGCACGUUUGGCAAAUUCUUCUUUGAGGCUGAUGUUUUAGUAUGCAGAAUCUUAAAUGAAUUUGUAUUGUUUCUCUUAGUUUAUAAUUUAUUAUUUUUAUAAGUUUCUUCAUAUCCAUACUAGCCACUGUUUGUGAGACUUUUCAGCCCCUAAAAAUUAAUCUGUACUAUACAUGUUUUUUUAUGAGCAGCUUGACAGGAAGGGUAAAGAGUGAAAUGGAGGGCGAAAAUAAAAUUUGAGAUGUUUGCACAGUUUUUUUGAAUCAAGCUUAUUUGAUCAAUUUCAGGGUUUUUGUCAUUUCUAAAAGGAAAUGAUUUCUUUUGGGGGUUGUGUUAUAGUAAACAAUCAAUUAGGCAUAACAUUUUAGGGUUUAGGGAUAACACUUUGGCGACUAACAAGAAAUGUACAAACUAAAUUGAGCAGAGAAUUCUGUCUUUUCCUAAGCAAGUUUUGUUUUAUGACUAUAAAUUGACUUUUCCUUGGAAUCUUUUUCUUAUUUUUAUUUAAUCCAUCCAGCCUAACAAAUUUUGUUAUAUUUUACAUUUUCCUAUCAUGGGAUUUUGUUGAAUUGUUUUAUAGGCAAUGUGUUUUUGGUUUCAUAUGGUGUAUCCAU